GAAGGAUGGUUGAGGGGUUGGCAGCGGUAGGAUGGGCCCCAAACCCUCUGCAGGAGACCCUGAACAACUUUGGAAAGACUUCUGACCAUUUUUGCCUUGAAUGAUGACGCACCAGGGCCCUCUGGUCCUUGCCCUCGUUCAGAUCUGACUCCUGUGCUCUCGUCUCCGUGAGCUUACCUGUGGAAAGAGAAUAGCUUGUGAGAGUGUACGAGUGGAAUGAAGGGGUCAGAUGAGAGAGCGCGGCGGAGAUGGAGAGAAGCGGAGAACUUGAUGCAUAUUUUGGAGGCAAAAUCAACAAGAUUGGCUGAUGGAUUAGAAGCAGAAGAUUUUGCCAUAGAGAAAUCUCUUGCUUUUUAAUCUCUCCAAUUUGUGAACCAACCAACCAGUCUACCAACCAGCCAACCAAUCAACUACUCAACCAGUCAACUAACUCCUCCCGGAGACAAAGAUUGGAGAAUGCUUGAAUCUGUUGAAGUUUUUCUCCUGAGGAAGCAAGAAUUGAAGUUGCUGCAGACCUGUAUGGACUCACUGCUGCUGACGUACUUUGGUGCCAUGUGGCUCGGAUACAUUCCCUGGUGGUAAGAGAUCUCUACCUCUCACCUUCUUCAGCUGGAGGUGUUCAACCCCUGUACGCACUUUCCUUCUCUCUUUU
rnacentral:lncRNA from 1 species